AACGGUGAGGUGCGAUGCAACG
rnacentral:miRNA from 1 species